UACAGAGGGUGCAAGCGUUAAUCGGAGUUACUGGGCGUAAAGGGCGCGUAGGCGGUUAUAUGUGUGUGAUGUGAAAGCCCCGGGCUUAACCUGGGAAGUGCAUCGCAAACUGUAUAGCUAGAGUAUAUGAGAGGGUGGCGGAAUUUCCGGUGUAGCGGUGAAAUGCGUAGAGAUCGGAAGGAACGUCAAUGGCGAAGGCAGCCACCUGGCAUAAUACUGACGCUGAGGCGCGAAAGCGUGGGGAGCGAAC
rnacentral:rRNA from 1 species